GCGGGUGUAGUUUAAUGGUAGAACAUCAGCCUUCCAAGCUGACCGUGAGAGUUCGAUUCUCUUCAUCCGCUCCA
rnacentral:tRNA from 2 species